rnacentral:rRNA from 1 species
AAAUUGAAGAGUUUGAUCAUGGCUCAGAUUGAACGCUGGCGGCAGGCCUAACACAUGCAAGUCGAACGGUAACAGGAAGCAGCUUGCUGCUUYGCUGACGAGUGGCGGACGGGUGAGUAAUGUCUGGGAAACUGCCUGAUGGAGGGGGAUAACUACUGGAAACGGUGGCUAAUACCGCAUAACGUCGCAAGACCAAAGAGGGGGACCUUCGGGCCUCUUGCCAUCAGAUGUGCCCAGAUGGGAUUAGCUUGUUGGUGAGGUAACGGCUCACCAAGGCGACGAUCCCUAGCUGGUCUGAGAGGA